CACUUUCGCUUGCUGCCGGGAGAGGAGUGGGUGUGCUUUCCAAGCCGGGCGCCUUCAUCAAAACAACUACAACUGUGCCAUGCAGAGGGAGCAGCUUGCACCUACACUGCAGUGGAGCUCCAAGGUUAGCAGAAGAGUUGUGAUAGGAGAAGAAAUGCCAGAAGAAUGGAGCCCAUAUGAGCUAUUUGCUCACGUUUCUUGGCAGGUUUCACAGUGGUCAACUCUGUGCUGGUAAUGCUAUGCUAAUAUCAGUACCAGAGCAAGCUCAUUUGAAGAUGGGUCACCUGUACCUCAACAAGACGUACUCACACCUUUCUCAAAAAGAAAAUCCUGUUGACAGAGGCUUCACAAGAUCUUAGUGCUUUGAGGGAUGUAUGAGGGAUGGGAUUCAAUUCAAGAUGUAAGUGUCAAAAUUGAGGUGUUUUGAUAAAUAAAAUAAAAUAAAGGCAUAUGAAAUUCCCACUAUAA